UCCUACGGGAGGCAGCAGUAGGGAAUCUUCCGCAAUGGACGAAAGUCUGACGGAGCAACGCCGCGUGAGUGAUGAAGGUUUUCGGAUCGUAAAACUCUGUUGUCAGGGAAGAACAAGUACGAUAGUAACUGAUCGUACCUUGACGGUACCUGACCAGAAAGCCACGGCUAACUACGUGCCAGCAGCCGCGGUAAUACAA
rnacentral:rRNA from 1 species